rnacentral:rRNA from 1 species
CCUACGGGUGGCAGCAGUGGGGAAUAUUGGGCAAUGGGCGCAAGCCUGACCCAGCAACGCCGCGUGAAGGAAGAAGGCUUUCGGGUUGUAAACUUCUUUUAUGAGGGACGAGCAGAAGACGGUACCUCUUGAACUAGGCACGGCUAACUACGUGCCAGCAGCCGCGGUAAUUCGUUGGGGGCAAGCGUUGUGCGGAUUUACUGGGUGUAAAGGGCGUGCAGCCGGGAACGCAAGUCAGAUGUGAAAUCCCGUGGCUCAACCACGGAACUGCACUUGAAACUGUUUUGCUUGAGUGCCGGAGAGGUCAGCGGAAUUCCUUGUGUAGCGGUGAAAUGCGUAGAUAUAAGGAAGAACACCAGUGGCGAAGGCGGAUGGCUGGACGGCAACUGACGCUGAGGCACGAAAGCGUGGGGAGCAAACAGGAUUAGAUACCCCUGUAGUC